CUCGCGGACCGGGCCCCUCUGGCGCGCUUUUUUCAGCGCGUGAUGUCGGACCGCAUCG
rfam:Sphingobium japonicum TT26S DNA, chromosome 1, complete genome.